rnacentral:rRNA from 1 species
UACGGGGGGGGCAAGCGUUGUUCGGAAUUACUGGGCGUAAAGGGCGUGUAGGCGGCCAACUAAGUCCGACGUGAAAUCCCCAGGCUUAACCUGGGAACUGCGUCGGAUACUGGAUGGCUUGAAUCCGGGAGAGGGAUGCAGAAUUCCAGGUGUAGCGGUGAAAUGCGUAGAUAUCUGGAGGAAUACCGGUGGCGAAGGCGGCAUCCUGGACCGGCAUUGACGCUGAGGAGCGAAAGCUAGGGGAGCAAACGGG